GUAGGGAAUAUUGGACAAUGGGGGCAACCCUGAUCCAGCGACGCCGCGUGAGUGACGAAGGCCUUCGGGUCGUAAAGCUCUGUUGCAAGGGAAAAACAAAAUGAUGGUACCUUGCUAGAAAGGAUCGGCUAACUUCGUGCCAGCAGCCGCGGUAAGACGAGGGAUCCUAGCGUUGUUCGGAAUUAUUGGGCGUAAAGCGGGUGUAGGUGGCUUUGUAAGUCAGGUGUGAAAGCCUGGGGCUUAACCCCAGAAGUGCAUUUGAUACUGCGAAGCUUGAGUGCUGGAGAGGCUACUAGAAUUCUUGGUGUAGUGGUGAAAUACGUAGAUAUCAAGAGGAAUACCGGAGGCGAAGGCGGGUAGCUGGCCAGACACUGACACUCAGACCCGAAAGCGUGGGGAUCAAACAGGAUUAGAAACCCGUGUAGUCC
rnacentral:rRNA from 1 species